AUUGAACGCUGGCGGCAGGCCUAACACAUGCAAGUCGAGCGGAUGAAGGGAGCUUGCUCCUGGAUUCAGCGGCGGACGGGUGAGUAAUGCCUAUGAAUCUGCCUGGUAGUGGGGGAUAACGUCCGGAAACGGGCGCUAAUACCGCAUACGUCCUGAGGGAGAAAGUGGGGGAUCUUCGGACCUCACGCCCUCAGAUGAGCCUAGGUCGGAUUAGCUAGUUGGUGGGGUAAAGGCCUACCAAGGCGACGAUCCGUAACUGGUCUGAGAGGAUGAUCAGUCACACUGGAACUGAGACACGGUCCAGACUCCUACGGGAGGCAGCAGUGGGGAAUAUUGGACAAUGGGCGAAAGCCUGAUCCAGCCAUGCCGCGUGUGUGAAGAAGGUCUUCGGAUUGUAAAGCACUUUAAGUUGGGAGGAAGGGCAGUAAGUUAAUACCUUGCUGUUUUGACGAUACCAACAGAAUAAGCACCGGCUAACUUCGUG
rnacentral:rRNA from 1 species